UACGUAGGGGGCAAGCGUUGUCCGGAUUCAUUGGGCGUAAAGGGUGCGUAGGCGGCGCGGUAAGUCGGGUGUGAAAUCUUGGAGCUUAACUCCGAAACUGCAUUCGAUACUGCCGCGCUUGAGGACUGGAGAGGAGACUGGAAUUUACGGUGUAGCGGUGAAAUGCGUAGAUAUCGUAAGGAAGACCAGUGGCGAAGGCGGGUCUCUGGACAGUUCCUGACGCUGAGGCACGAAGGCCAGGGGAGCAAACGGG
rnacentral:rRNA from 1 species